GAGGGGUUGGGGGAGAAACAAGAAAGGCUUUUUCUAAAGCUGGUGCAGCCGUUGACUACUCGAAACCAAUCGUGGUAUUUGGGAGAGCUUUUUUUGUUUAGAGGCGAGAGGUGGGGGAGGGGGUAGGAGGGAGAAGAUUCAGGGUGGUGAAAAAGCGUCUUUCCCGGAAGAGAUCCGGAGAUAGCAAAGCUUCCGCCACUCGUAGAGAGGGUAAUGGGAAACUACCAUGCCUGGGUGGAAGGAAAGUCUGAGUAGCCUCCGGGAGCGGUAGUCACCGUCUCACAGUCCUUUAACUGUGUACCAGUUCCCCACCCUCCUCGGUGGCAGCUCGGGCUCUCUCACUUCUCCCCUUCCCCCUCCGCCCCCUUCCGGCCUUAGGCAAAGGGCGAACCCGACUGGGGUUUCACUCGAUGCCCACUAGGGGCUGAUGGGGUUUAGGAGUCUUAAGUGCGCAAGCUCCGGACACCGGAUAAAAGCGGAGCAGGCUGGGUCUCGAGCUGUCUUGAUGGAGGAGAAAGAAAAGGAAGAGACCAGGGGGUAGAGAGACUCUGCAAGAAUAGUACGGCCACCGUCAACGCUGCCACCGUGUUUCGGGGUAAAAAGCCGCCGCCAUCGGUGCUGCCGCUGCUGCCUCCCUCUCGGCCCCUCGGGGUUAAUUUCCCCCGCCCGCCAACUGGACAUUGUGUGCGGGGAGGGGAACGGGGAUCCCGGUGUGUGGAGGUGAUUGAACUAGGUUUAGGGUCCAAGCAGGGAGGGGCAAGUGUAGAUUAUCUAGACAAAAGGUAGAGUAAAUCAGGGAGCGGCACAAGGGCUUCCCCGUUGGAGCCGCAGGGACUGGGCGGCGCUGGCCCCUGUAGUCGGGAGUGGGGGUGGGGGUGCUCUCCUUGAAAUGGCGGUUUCCGCCUCGCCCGGUAGCGACCCUGGGAGAGCUUGGGGAGCGGAGGUGGGGAGAGUCAGAUCAGUCGGUGUAGCCAAUCAGCGUAUAGUUUAUAUAGUCAGGUGGCGUUUGAUUGGUUGGUGAUGACCUCAUGCUGCAGCAGCGGGCGGGGCCGGAGCUGUCCGGGGAGGCUGGUGCAGAGGGAGAAAGGGAGAAGUGGUGAUGGCGACGGUUGCUGCGGCGGUCGUUGUGAGAUCUAAACAGUGGCGAUGGGGACCUCAAGCCUCUUCCUUGACCGGUUCCUCCUGGCCCCCCGCGAGAUGAUUGUACUCAAUUCAGCCUUCAAAGCAACAAAGUAUGGAUCAAUUCUCUGUGGCUUGUGUGAAUUUUGGCCUAGCAAUUAACAGUACAGCACCAUGCAUAUGAGGAACCAUCAGUUACAAUAAAUGGAGAAGUUUUGAAUGCUGUGGAUAA